UAUUUUAUAGUUUAUAAAAAUAUUAAAUUGCAAAUUUAAAGAAAUUUUUUAAAAAAAAUUAAAAUAU
rnacentral:tRNA from 1 species